rnacentral:rRNA from 1 species
GAUGAACGCUGACAGAAUGCUUAACACAUGCAAGUCUACUUGAAUUUGGGUUUUUUAACUUAGAUUUGGGUGCGGACGGGUGAGUAACGCGUAAAGAACUUGCCUCACAGCUAGGGACAACAUUUGGAAACGAAUGCUAAUACCUGAUAUUAUGAUUUUAAGGCAUCUUAGAAUUAUGAAAGCUAUACGCGCUGUGAGAGAGCUUUGCGUCCCAUUAGCUAGUUGGAGAGGUAACGGCUCACCAAGGCGAUGAUGGGUAGCCGGCCUGAGAGGGUGAACGGCCACAAGGGGACUGAGACACGGCCCUUACUCCUACGGGAGGCAGCAGUGGGGAAUAUUGGACAAUGGACCAAGAGUCUGAUCCAGCAAUUCUGUGUGCACGAUGACGUUUUUCGGAAUGUAAAGUGCUUUCAGUUGGGAAGAAAAAAAUGACGGUACCAACAGAAGAAGUGACGGCUAA